UACGAAGGGGGCUAGCGUUGCUCGGAAUCACUGGGCGUAAAGCGCACGUAGGCGGGUUGUUAAGUCGGGGGUGAAAUCCUGGAGCUCAACUCCAGAACUGCCUUCGAUACUGGCGACCUUGAGGUCCGGGGAGAGGUGAGUGGAACUCCGAGUGUAGAGGUGAAAUUCGUAGAUAUUCGGAAGAACACCAGUGGCGAAGGCGGGUCUCUGGGCAACAACUGACGCUGAGGAGCGAAAGCGUGGGGAGCGAACAGG
rnacentral:rRNA from 1 species